rnacentral:rRNA from 1 species
GAUGAACGCUGGCGGCGUGCCUAAUACAUGCAAGUCGAGCGAACAGACGAGGAGCUUGCUCCUCUGACGUUAGCGGCGGACGGGUGAGUAACACGUGGAUAACCUACCUAUAAGACUGGGAUAACUUCGGGAAACCGGAGCUAGUACCGGAUAAUAUAUUGAACCGCAUGGUUCAAUAGUGAAAGACGGUUUUGCUGUCACUUAUAGAUGGAUCCGCGCCGCAUUAGCUAGUUGGUAAGGUAACGGCUUACCAAGGCAACGAUGCGUAGCCGACCUGAGAGGGUGAUCGGCCACACUGGAACUGAGACACGGUCCAGACUCCUACGGGAGGCAGCAGUAGGGAAUCUUCCGCAAUGGGCGAAAGCCUGACGGAGCAACGCUGCGUGAGUGAUGAAGGUCUUCGGAUCGUAAAACUCUGUUAUUAGGGAAGAACAAAUGUGUAAGUAACUAUGCACGUCUUGACGGUACCUAAUCAGAAAGCCACGGCUAACUACGUG